UUGUCUUUGUGAUAAAUCGAUGCAAUGUAUCUUUACUGUUAUUAAAGCAGUUAGUAUUAAUGUUCCAGCUCUGGUUAAUGGGGAUGAUAAAACUGAUUCAGACAUAUACGGACAGCAUCAGUAAAGUACAGCAAAUUUACACUUUCAGCAAUAAAUGUGAGAACGGGAUCAGUAUACAUCUUUCUGCAUAGUGAAACUCAAACAUCCAACUGUGGGAAGAAGAGAAAAAAUGUAUUAUUGACUAGAGGGAGACUUUAAAUGAGUUGUAGGGAUUUUAUUGGGAAUUGUUCUCAAGUUCAUGGAAUAGGGGCUAUCAACAAGCAGGAAUAUUUUUUUUUAAAGCAGCUAGUAUGCUGUUAACAACACGAAGCUAUUGUUUCGAUGAUCUAACAAUUUUGGGGGGAAAAAAUCCUUCAAAGAAGUGCUCAGGAUUAUUAUUUUCUAAAUUUUACCGUCCUCACUCCAGUCCGGACGGUGGCAGUCGUGAACAUAAAACUAUUUUCAAACGGCACAAAAUGCCAGAAGAAGACGAAGAGACGGAAGAAGACGGGAACGAAGAAGAGUUGUGCUAAUUCAGCCACGCUAUAGCCUACAAGUUGAGCCCUGCCGAGCUCAGUGCAGAGAUUUUUGUCAUUUUAACAUGUCGCCGUCACUCGUUCAGGUCUGCUAUAUAACUGAACCGUGGUUCAAACCGAAUAAUGAAAACUCAAAGCUGCAACUCAGCGCAGGAUACACAGGAGGAGAUGGCCUGACCUGACUCGUCAUGAAAGAGCUCCCUGUGGAGAACUGAAGCAUGUGGAGAGUCCUUGUCUGAAGGUGGGAUCGCUGAUCCUGAAGCGAGAGAAUCCGGUCAUCCUGCUGGUCGUCGCACACGGGCCCAGUGACAGAUGGUUGCUACGACUGACCUCCAGACUGUAAAGAAAAGCCUGGGGAUGGACAACCUCAUGUCUGCCUCUGAAGCAGGAACAUAAGGAAGAAAAGAGUCCACACCUUCAGUCAUGCUCCACGAGGGAAAGCAGCCUGUUGUUCACGCUAAACUGAUGAAUUUUAACUCUUGCAAGAUGAUGCGGAUGUGACUUGAUCCUGGUCUUCUGUUAAAAUAAACCCAUAACUGUGUUCAAAAUGA